ACAGCAGUCGCCACGGUAAUACAGAGGAUGCAAGCGUUAUCCGGAAUGAUUGGUCGUAAAGCAUCUGUAGGUGGCUUAUCAAGUCUGCCGUCGAAUCCCAGGGCUCAACCCUAGACAGGCGGUGGAAACUACCAAGCUAGAGUACAGUAGGGGCAGGGGGAAUUUCCGGUGGAGCGGUGAAAUGCAUUGAAAUCGGAAAGGACACCAACGGCGAAAGCACUCUGCUGGGCCGACACUGACACUAAGAGACGAAAGCUAGGGGAGCAAAUGGGAUUAGAUACCCCUGUAGUCCCUGUCUCUUAUAC
rnacentral:rRNA from 1 species